AUCCCUGUAGUGCAAUGGAUUGCGCUUUGGACUUCUAAUCCAAAAAUCGUGGGUCCGACUCCCACCUGAGAUG